AUUAAAUUUGAAGUGUGGAGUCAUUCUUGAAUUUAAAGGCAGCAGAUCUGCUGUUGCAUACUUGCUGGUGAGGACUGGCAUGGGAAGGGAGUGCUCAGAGAGAGUAAAUCAUUCUCUCGCAGGGUGAAUGAGAAUAAAAAAAACACUACCUCUGAAGAAACAGGAAUCCCCUGCAGAAACAGAAGCGUAUCUUGUGCAAAACCCCUCUGAGCAGAAGUUCAGAGCAGCGCUGGUGGGUCAGCAGUCUGAAGUCAGCAGUAGCUUGCAUAAAGCAAAACUCAUAAACAAGCCGGAUGUGAGUGCUUUCAGAAGUGCAUUAGAAAGUUGACAGAGCUGAAGUGGAACAACUUCCUUGGAAAAAAGUCAAAGAUUGCUAGAGUUUGGAGUUCUGAUGAUCACAUUCCAGUAGACUCAUGUCUCCACCCUGCUGUGUUUCUCCUUUUCCCAACGACAGCACUAGAGUUUUGCCCUUUUAUUUUCCCUGGAACUUCAGAACUGAUUGAGUACGUGUGAUGUUCAUAAGCUGUUGUGUAACAUCCAAAUGGAGCAAUAUCUUCAAGUUGAGUACAAGACCUUGCAAGCUCAGUCAACAAUACCAAGAAGUUGAACUGGAUAAGACAAUUUUGUCAGUUGGUGGUAGAUUGUGAAGAUCUGGCAGCAUCUUCAUCCUUGGGGUUCAGAGGGCUAAGUGGGUCAGGACAGGGAGGACAGCCUACCUAUAGACACAAAGCUUUAAACAAGUGAAAACCCAGAAAACUCAAAACCCCUUAACUCUGAAAUUUUGGAGGUCAGAUUACUUCUGGCCAGUUGCUUGUUUUUCAGCCAUGCCUGUGUCUAAGUGAAUGCAAACACUGUAAGUGAAAGUUAACAAAAGCCCAAAUGAUUGGCUGGCAGACUGCGAUGAUUAUUCAUACUACUUUGCUAUAUUGUAAAUAUUUCAGCUAGAAAAUAUAAUGGCUACAAUCAUUUCUGAAAUAUGUUUGGCAGAGAAACUUGAAAUGGAAACAACAAAAUAAAGUUAAUAUGCCUUUUGACUUACGGUUAUGCUGAAGUCGUAGAUAAAACCUUAUUGUACCUGGUAUGUGUAACCCCAUGUUAUCAUCUAGGAUAAAGUUGACAAACAUUUAGUCUUCUCUGUGGAAGCAGAGAGAUAAAACAACGUGCACCACUGCUGAAAACAGACACUCAGUGAGAUAAAAAGUUUAACCUUACAGCCCAAGAGAUUUCCUUGGCAUGAGGUAGUAAAUACAAGGACAGGAGCAAUAACUGGCUGGGCUACGGGAGGGAGAAGCAUUAGAAACUGUUGCUGACAAGCAAGUGGCAAAUAAAUCUCAGAAACAACACGAGAAACCCUGAUUAGACCUGAAGGAACAAUUUUAAGUGUCGUUGUAAGUGAAUCACUCGUUUAGCUUGACAGGAUCAGUUGGAAAUGAGUGACAUAUACCAGCUUAUAUUAAAGUUAAUCUAUAGAUGAUUUGUAUAAAUUCCUUGAGCAGGAAUUCGUAAUAGUGUUGGGAGUGCAACAGGAGGCUCUGCUGCUGAAGAAUACCUCCCACAGUAGGUAUUGAACUCUACUUCAGGCAACCCAGUACUCACAUUUACA